CACAAUACGUCAAUUGCUUGGUCGUUCCUUCCGUCGUCGCGCUUCCUCGACCGUCGUCACAUGGGCCAGGCCCAAUGACUCCGCCGAAUCCGCCAAAUCCACCUACCCCUGCUGAUCUCCCAAAAAUUCAUCUACUCGGUCAUCAACCCAUCAAUCUGGCGUGUGCACCGCCGCCGGCGGACGCAGAGGAGUCGCUUUGGCGAGUUUCACCCGUCCGCACCAAAAGCGAGAGGGAUGCGGAGCUCGACGAACGGAUGACCAGAUAGUCGGCUUGACACAAGGUCAGGAAGCUUUCCUACGGGACGCUCAUCAAGGCGGUCGAUCUGAUGCAGCUAAUCGACCGGGCGGUUUUUCUUCUCAACAAGAUGGGGAGCGCUUCAAUCGACGUUCCGCUCCUCAAAAUCCAACGAUAGGACGACCACAGUCCACCGCCGGUCGACGACCCAGCGGCCUCCUACCGGCCCACGAUUCAGCCUCCUACUGGCCUUGAAGCAUCCGCCGAGGGAACGAACCAAUCGGCAUCAUGGGAGCCAGGCCGAGGGGUGCUAUCAUCGCCGGGAGGAGGCUGUCAAGCGCUGCUGGAGUCCGCGCCGCUGGCGGCGUUGCCGACAUCCACCAUGUGCGUCACUCCAGGUUAGGUAGCGCCACACCUGCCUUUCCUCUCCGAUGUUGUGCCUUCAUCUAUUUUUUCUCUCAUGUCAAAUACUAGAUGCGUGAUGUUGUGCUCUAACACGGCGGGCGCCUGUCACAAGAGCUUCCCGGUGACUCUGGGAUAUGCGCGAACUGGUGGUUAUUCCGGCAACUACCAGCACGGGAACUCCUGGCGGGCAGGUCUUAGUACGAGUGCACAUGGCGUUUCCAGCAGGCGACAAGGCUGGUUGCAUGCUACGUCGCCUCGAGUCGCCGUCGUGGCAUGCAAGAUAUUACAUCUCUCUGUACGCUGCUGGAGUGCUGGUCGAGUACAACUACCCCAAGUUCAUCGCCAAGAAGGUGUGAAUCAACAUGCCAUGGUGGUAUCUCGCUGCCAAUAAAUAGAUGAGCCCCUUCCUCACGCAGUACACUAACAUCAAGUUCGUUUUUCUACAUCCAGGCCAAGUCACUUGAUACCCUCUUUAAGUAUUAUGCGUGACAUACUUUUUCCUUUAUUGUUAAAUCUUUAAGGGAUUUAUCCUUAAUUAUUGUCCAUCCUCUAUGAAUAAAAAAAAAUUACAUCGCGAGGCAGGGGAAGUCCAGUUCAAUUUGGAGUCUUCUCCAAAGAAGAUGAUCCUGAGUUCACCACCUUUGACUUUGUCAGCGAUCUCUCCCUCAAAUGUUAUUAAAAAAACAUCGAGAACUCUGUCACUGACCCAUACUUCUACACAUCCUUCUACACGUUCUAAUUUGUUGCUUGCUUUUUAUGGAAUUUUUUCGUAUUGCUUCUAAAUUGAGAAAAAAUGUGUUACUUAUAGCUGGUCACCACGUGUAUCGCCAGCCGAGGGUGAUCAAGGCGCGGAUCACGAUGACACACUGGAAACUCCAGGGCGGCGAUACAGAUCUGCUGAAUAACAAGAGCACUACUUCACUAGGAGAUGUGAGAAUAACUGGACAAGUUCAGUGGUGUGCGCGAGGCAAUGAUAUGCUCUCACCAUUUAGUAGUGGCUAUUGAAAAAACUAAAUGUUUAGAGCUGGUGCGGCAUGUAUCUCCAUUAACCCUUUCAGAUUUUUUCAGCGCAGUUGCGAUGGUUCCUAAUGGAUACAUAGAUAUAGCAGUUGCCAUUGUUCAUUGUGCUGUCCUCUCUAUACCCACAAUUCAACAAAAGGUUUUAUUUGCGUGUUCCCUUCAAAAAGUAUUUUAGCAGCCAGCCAAUAGAGAAAAUUGUACCAUUCAUUUUUUAUAAGGAAAACCUGCAUCCUGGGGCCAAGAUUAAUGGUUCAUAUUUAGCUUAAACAGAAUGUAGACCAAUGACUUUUGUGAUGUUAUUUAUUUAAUAUCUCUACAGCUUCCUUUAAUGCAAUCCUAAGUAUGCCUACUACAAACUUAAUCCUUGGUCAUCUGAAGACAAAUAAGCAGUUAUUGACACUUUUGUAGGCAUACAGUUUGAUAAUUCUCUCUGCACGCAUUCAAAGCUUGGUUUGCUCCCAAAUCAACAAGGAACAUAUGAAGAAGUAUAUACAUACUACAGAGAUAGGUCAUGUCUUACCAGAAUAUCAAAGUCCGCCUACCGCCUCUGAUAAAAAACGAGACGGUCUGGUUGGCCAACAUCACGCCAAACAUUUCUAGGAAGACGCUGCAAGAUGUUCAGUUCAAAGGUCAACCCCAUAGCCGCCACGGUCCAGGAGGGGGCCAAGGAGAACGCAGAGCGAUGCGCCGAUGCGCCAUCUCGAGGCGCUCGACCAACGGCUCAACAUCACGUCGCAGGCCUUGGAGAGGAUGCAACACUCGUCGCCGGAAGAAGACGACCGGACCCGGUGGAUUCCAUGGUCGUGUGGAAGGGCACACUGCACACAACAGGAGCGUGGACAGGCAACACUACAGGGGCGUCUUCGGUGGCCCACAGGCUCGCCUCGCCUCACGCAGGUAUGGAGCGCAACAGGACUCAGGGCCGCGCGGGUUUUCAGGGCGGCGGUGGUUUGGGACGCACAUGCGGCAGUGUUCUCCGAGGCGUUAGCGGCGGCGGUAGAUCUUGCCGGUGCGAAGAUUUCUAGCGGGCGAACCGCUGCUAGACAAGAUUGGUCUGAUGUGAUGGUGUGUGACGCACUCUUCUCCCCCUCACAAAUUCUUCUCUCUGCAUGGUGAGGUGUGGCGCGGUAGCUUCGGCCUUCGUGGGCUAAUCCGGGUUUGCAAUCAGACUUGGUUCCCUUGCACUAAAUAAGUUUUCUUGUUGAUGAGCGUUUUAGCUUCUUUCACUGAAUCAAAUUUCCAGGCAGGUGUCAUGUACUAAAUAUAGUCUUUAUUUGGGUAGGUUUGUGAAAUGAAUAUGAGUGAGGAGUGUGAGAUGGACUGAAGCAUUGAGAAUUGAGUUCUAGCUCAGUGGCAAGGCAAGCGAGUGCGCAGCCAGCCCACCCGGGUUCGAAUCCCCAUCCGCGGUAAUUUUGCAGGAGGGGCGAAUAAACCGGGUUAUCAUCCAUCCACGUCCAUCCGCGGGGAGAGUCUCAUUCUACCUAACAACGUAUAGCCAAAGGAGGGAUCAUUUCCCCGUUGGUCAACGUUUGAGAUGGACUGAAGCAUUAGCCGUUAACUGAUUUAGCAUUCAUGUAUUGAUGUACGACGUAACCUAUAUUGCUAAUUCAUAUUAUAGAUAAUUUUAAAAUAAUCAAAUUACUUGUAACAUCAUCUGAUUGUAAUGUAUGUUUCUCUCAGGAGUGUUUUCUUGUAAAUAUGGACAAAGAGUAAUGUUGAUGGAAUUUAAGUGAGUAUAUUCUGUGAGUUCGUACAUGCUCAUAAAUGACUAUCACACAUGCAUUCUUGGAGACUAGAACCAGUCAAAAUAUGUGUAAAUCUGUUCAUGAAUGCUGGCACUACUCUAUAAUGAAUUUCAUGACAUUAUUGUUUUCGCUAUGAAAAUACUCCUUUUGUGAAUCACGGUCUCGCGGAGUGGGGUAUGGUGGCAAUGGUGGCGGAGUGGGGUGAGGUUGCCGAUUGCUGCUUGAAUAAAAUGGUAAACCUUAUUUUAGGUUUUGCUUCUGAAUUAGCCAGAUAAAAUGGUAAUCAAUAAUCAUUAGAAUAUCUGUUGAUAAAUUUCUACGCAAACUGUAUAGCUGGCCAGCAAAAUCUUGCUUGUUUUCUUUUCAAAUGAUAUAGAGUUGAAAUUGAUCACAAGUUUACUACUUGGCCGCUGACUUUCGGGGGAAGGUUGCGAAGAUAUGCAUUGUUUAUCUUGUUAUUUUAUUCCUGGGAUUGGAGGAGCCAUUAGUCCUAGCUCCUAACCCAUAUGUUUUAUUUUUUCAAGAGUACCGGUAUUCAGACUUCAGAUGCCUAAAAAGCGAUCCAGGAGUUGCACGUCGUGCAGUGACUCCGAACCUACACGCUCGCCACCUAGCCUUCACCGCCCAUGUGCUCUACCUCAACGCCUACUCCUCGAAUAAGGAGCAGGUGCCUCGCGUACACCGCGUUCAUUUUUCUUUUGCACUCGGUUUUUCCAGCGUACGUCAUAUGUAUGUUCAACUAUAUGACACCAUGACACCAAUAAAUUAGACGAUAGGCAUGUAUCCUAUUACUUCUGUUUUAUAUUUUCAGUACAGUUGAUUUACAGAACGAGAAUUCAAGGAUCCUUGGAUAAGUGCUCUUCCAAAACUGAAGGAAUUCAAGAGUAGUAUACCCCAGGCAACAUAGAGUAGUAUAUCCCAAGUUCCAUGUCUGUUUAUGAAAUCGUGCUACUAUAAUCUUCCAAAACAUAGAGUAGUAUAGAGAUGUGAUUGCACCUGAAUUGACAUUCACGUUAUGCUUCCUGGUUAGCUCUUGGUCACCGUUACAAGACAGGUAGAAAGAAACUGUUUUAUUUUUACCUUCUCUUCGGUUCAUUUUUAGCCAACCACAUCAAUUUUGAAUACGUGUUGUAUAGAAUUAGUGGCUCCUGGACAAUAUUUAUCUUUGACUGUCCGCUUUCUUGCAUACUAUUGACACUGUUAUUGUUAGGAUACCAUUAGGCAUUGCAUGCAGUAUGGAAAAAAAGAAAUGAGCAUAUGAGGUUGAUUUUGAUUCCAAUCUAUUAUUUACAGGUCAAGGAUCAAAGGUACAUCAAAUGCAAAACUUUCAAGUACAGGAGGAGGACGGAGAUAUGCUCGUUAUUGAAGGUGUAUGGUAGCACUUUGAUAGUGUUUUUGAAGCUGAAGGUGAAGAGGAGGUGUCGAGCAAUUGAAGGAAUUCCUAGAGGACCUAGAGACAGCGGCCAAGGAGAUUUUGUUCUAAAGAAAUGUUUUUUCUGUUGGUGUCAUGACUUGUAAUAACCAAUGAUUUUGAAUUAACAUGAGAGAUAUUUCUAUAAGUAAUA